CAGCCGCCGCGGUAAUACGUAGGUGGCAAGCGUUGUCCGGAAUUAUUGGGCGUAAAGCGCGCGCAGGUGGUUUAAUAAGUCUGAUGUGAAAGCACACGGCUCAACCGUGGAGGGUCAUUGGAAACUGUUAAACUUGAGUGCAGAAGAGGAGAGUGGAAUUCCACGUGCAGCGGUGAAAUGCGUAGAGAUGUGGAGGAACACCAGUGGCGAAGGCGACUCUCUGGUCUGUAACUGACGCUGAGGAGCGAAAGCGUGGGGAGCGAACAGGAUUAGAUACCCCUGUAGUCCCUGUCUCUUAUAC
rnacentral:rRNA from 1 species